rnacentral:lncRNA from 1 species
GGAGCUGUGGCUAUGACUGAGGCAGAAAUUUGUGAGAGAGUUUUGGGACAAAAAUCAGGAUAUGUCAAGGGCCUUGGUUUUGGCCCUAAACCAAUCUCAUUUUCUAAAUCUAGACCAUCAUCUUCUGAGCAUGAAAUUGAGUUGGAGCAUAGACUUGUUGAGACUCAACUACUUGUGGAGACUCAACAACAACAACUUGAGACUCAACAAUAUCGAAUUGAC